AUGCCUGCAUAAUUUUCUUCUAUUUCAUUGUCAGCUUGCCAAAUGGGGUUGCACCGUACCGCUCCAAUGUCCGUCGUGCGGUUUUAAAUGCGGGGAGUAUGAGGACAUCGGUCAUAUUUUUUUGCAGUGCCCGUUUGCAGUUCAGGUGUGGGCUUUAACUGGUAUUGGUCCUUCUUCGCUAUCUUUUUCUCUGUGGUUAUCGUCCUUAUUGCUUAAUGUCGACGACACCCUCUUGAAAAGAACUGUUGACUUUAUGAAGCUUAUGGUAUUAGUGAAACCUAUUUCUUUGGCGUGCGGGUGAUGCCUCGGCAUGUUGUGUUGUGGCGUUCGCUUCUCGUUUUAUCCAGGACUGGGAUGCUUCUAGUGCUGCUCACCGUCGGGUUUUGUUUGAGACUUUGCCGCCAGGCUCUACUGCAGCUGUUGCAUGGGUUCGGC
rnacentral:lncRNA from 1 species